CCUACGGGGGACAGCAGUAGGGAAUAUUGCUCAAUGGGGGAAACCCUGAAGCAGCAAAGCCGCGUGGAGGAUGAAGGUUUUCGGAUUGUAAACUCCUUUUGGUAGAGAAGAUAAUGACGGUAUCUAACGAAUCAGCACCGGCUAAAUCCGUGCCAGCAACCGCGGGAAUACGGAGGGUGCAAGCGUUACUCGGAAUCACUGGGCGGAAAGAGCGCGUAGGCGGGAUAGUAAGUCAGAUGUGAAAUCCUAGGGCUUAACCAUAGAACUGCAUUUGAAACUGGUAUUCUAGAGUAUGGGAGAGGUAGGUGGAAUUCCUGGUGUAGGGGUAAAAUCCGUAGAGAUCAAGAGGAAUACUCAUGGCGAAGGCGACCUGCUAGAACAAGACUGACGCUGAUGCGCGAAAGCGUGGGGAGCAAACAGGAUUAGAUACCCCUGUAGUC
rnacentral:rRNA from 1 species